AGGGUUGGGCUGUUCGCCCAUGAAAGCGGUACGCGAGCUGGGUUCAGAACGUCGUGAGACAGUUCGGUCCAUAUCCGGUGUAGGCGUUAGAAUAUUGAGAGGAGCCUUCUUUAGUACGAGAGGACCGAGAAGGACAUACCUAUGGUGUACCAGUUAUCGUGCCAACGGUAAACGCUGGGUAGCUAUGUAUGGAGUGGAUAACCGCUGAAAGCAUCUAAGUGGGAAGCCCACCUCAAGAUAAGUAUUCUCAUCACGAAAGUGAAUAAGGUCACGGUAAGACUAACCGUUUGAUAGGCAUUAAGUGUAAAUUGAGUAAUCAAUGAGCUGAGAUGUACUAACAGACCGAAGACUUGAAUU
rnacentral:rRNA from 1 species